GAUGCGAACUUGUCCCUCGAGGCUUCGGGUGUUCCGUCCCUGUCACUCUCCCCUGCUCAGGUUGCAGAGUCGCGGGGAGAGCGCUUCGGAGAACCCGAAAGGAGGCAGAGAUGGUGAGUGCACGGCUUGGGCCCUGCACACGGAAAAGGCUGAUUCAAAUUGGUGGCUGAUCUGAGCAGGCUCCCCGCUGCUGCCCUUCCGUCUUUUUUCCUUGAUGGAAUCUUGUCCCAUGUGACUCAGCGUUCGAGCACCUAAAGACUUCUGCUCCAUUACUAUAAGCAUAUGAACAUUCCAGGGCCAGGGAUGGAAUUGGAGCUGUAGCUGCCAGCCUACACCACACUCACAGCAACAGAGGAUCGGAGACUGCAACCUACACUGCAGCUCAUGGCAAUCCCGGAUCCUUUAACAUACCGAGUGAGGCCAGAGAUCAAACUCGAAUCUUCAUGGAUUCUGGCUGGGUUCUAAGCCACAACUACAACUCCCAACAGCCAUUUCUUACCCAAACUUUGCUCAGACUUCUCCCGCAGAGGCCCCUGACUCUGGGUCCUUGCUCACCCCAACUCCCGCCCCACCCUGAGCAACACUGAACUGCAGAACAAGACCCUGCAGACCUGGCCAAGAAAGCACUGAGGACAGAGGGGCCUGGGAUCUGACAAAGAGCCUUGCUCUCAAGCUCCUCACAAAGAGAAAAGCCCUUUGCUGUGGGUUAGAGAUGGUUUCUGAAACAAAGAUUUCCUUCUCCAUGGCAGAGUGGAUCACGCUUCUGGUCAGGCACUUUAACAACCCUGUGACUUUUCCUUUUAUAAGCCACUGACUCCCUCAUCCCCAAAACACUCUAGAUUUUUCACACAAAUGUCUCCCAAAUAGCAGUGUUUAAGACCCCAAACAGAGCUCUUUGUUCUUUGCAGCCUAAACACUGAUGAUCAGCCUACAUGCCAGGAGAGCUGGGGACCUCCUGGGUCCGGGGUCAGUCCAGUAGGCAGCACACUGUGGACCUGUGCCCUGUGCUUAAGCACAAAGACGUUCAGUGAUCUCACUGCCUGCAAGGAAGGAACCUGCUGUAGGUUUGACCUGUGCUACCCCACCCCCAUGUCUGCCCUUGACCAACUUGUCAGUAUCCCCUUUCUUACCCCACAGCAUCAGGUUCCUUCCCCACAGGCCCCUGAACACUGGGUCGCCCCCAAGUUUGAACAACCCUGAGAUUUGCAACAAGCCCCUGGUCUGCUUCACCAGAGAACAGUCCUACCAUGGGGCGCUGUCCAGUCCAGGCACAUUGGUCCCGCAGUCAGAGCAGUGCCCUCGCUCGCCCAGUUUGCCUCCUGCUCAACCUCUUCACAAAAGAGAAAAGCCUUUUUCUGUGCGAUUGGAGACGCUGGCACAUCUCUGGGAUGGGAGCCUCGGCCCUAUCGCCACCGUAUUUGCAAUACGAGUCCCCGUGAUACGUGUAGGCUUGACUUUUUCUGUCAGGUCCAGGGCGGAUCCCCUUCAACCCUCAGCACAUGACCAUCCUCAGCCUUUCCUGACUCGGACCCCCACACCGCCAAACACAUUGUCAGGACGGCCUGAGCCAACCCUAGGCCAAGGUCGUAAACUUGAGUCCUUAGGAAGGCCGGGGAGUCGGUGGGGGUCAGGACGCCAGGACCCCACCCCACGGCUGAGGGGGACACUCAGGUCUGGACCCCAGGAUAGCACCGCAGGACCCAGACCUGCAGCUGAGGCGGAGGUUCUGGUCAGGACAGUACUCGGUGUCCCCACCACGUGGCUGAGGGGGAGACUCUGCUUGGGAUCCCCACGGGGGUGGGGAGAAGGAUAUCCCGGCCUGCCCACCCACCCCCCUUUCAGCAGACUGGGAUCAGCCUUUUCUUUGUUCCAUCCCAGGAAGCGCACACACCAUCUCUGUCUCCUUUCCAGUUCUCUGAAGCGUCUUCACCGCCCAGCAACCAGGGCAAGUAAGAAUCUCCAGGAAGAAACACCUGAGGCCUCUCAGGAUAACUUCCCACAAGCACCUGGUCAGCUGAGAGCAAAACCUUUGGUGGGGCCUCCAGAGAGUAUCCUAAGCUGAUUGGCUGGUUGUCCACCAGCCCACCCAGUCGCCCUGGAUUGGACAGUUUGCCAGACCCUGCCUCUGCACCUGAGUGCAGGCCACAGAGACUCUGGGGGCUGAUCCCACUCCUGGAACUGAUGCCAGAAAGAUGUUAUCAGAAUCCAGGUUCUUGUUCAAAGAGGGAAGAAUUAACUUCACAUACAGGCAGCAAGCAAGCAAAGUCUAUAUUACAGGAAAGCAAACAGCUCCCAGGACAGCUGGGAGGGGAAAGAAGAGCCCCCUCUCUAUUGUCCGACAGGGGUUUUAAUCCCUUAAAGAUGGGGGUUACCAACACAGGUUCCAGGAAAAUGUGGUUUUCUCCCAUUGGCCUUGUCCCAUUACCUAUAUCAGUCCUUGUCCAAUAGGGUCUUAGGGGUGGAAAUGUCCUGUAAGUCUCAGUUUCUUUGCUCUUCUCUUUCUGUAGACUGAGUCACAGUGAGUUAGAGAUUAAUGUCCAUCUGGGCACAGGUACACUCUCUAUAGUAAACAAAGCCUGUGGGGUUGUCAUGCCCUGUAG
rnacentral:lncRNA from 1 species